rnacentral:tRNA from 1 species
GAAUUAGGUUAAUCAAGAUUAAGCUUCUAACUUAAAUCUUUAACAGUGAGACUCUGUUAAUAAUUCU